rfam:Rattus norvegicus chromosome X, whole genome shotgun sequence.
GGGGAUUUAGCUCAGUGGUAGAGCACUUGCCUACCAAGCAUAAGGCCCUGGGUUCGGUCCCCAGCUCCG